UACGUAGGGUGCGAGCGUUGUCCGGAAUUAUUGGGCGUAAAGAGCUCGUAGGCGGUGUGUCACGUCGGCCGUGAAAACCUGCAGCUUAACUGUGGGCGUGCGGUCGAUACGGGCAUCACUGGAGUUCGGCAGGGGAGACUGGAAUUCCUGGUGUAGCGGUGAAAUGCGCAGAUAUCAGGAGGAACACCGGUGGCGAAGGCGGGUCUCUGGGCCGAUACUGACGCUGAGACGCGAAAGCGUGGGGAGCAAACCGG
rnacentral:rRNA from 1 species